CCUAUUAAACAUCUAGAAGAAUCACAGAACUCUCACAGGCUUGCUCUGAGUGUGCCCCGCGCGCGCCGCCGCCGGGCGAGAGUGUUGGCACAGCAUCCAGUGUGCACCCGCUCUCCGACACCAUAACGUCCUGUGUGAACCUCACCAACAGUGUUUACGUUUGGACAUGAACAAAUAAGCGCCAUGGCCAGCGAGAGCAGCGAGACGAGCAGUGUGGUGGACGCGAAGACUUGCGGCAUGCUGGUGCUGGUCUACUGGCUCUGCUGCUGCAUGUGGUACGAAGAUAAGUCCGAAAACACGAGUCGGCAUCCGAGCAGAGCUGAAAUAACCCACGAUAACGGCGGUCGGCGACGCUCCAGCGAGUUCUUCAGCCGCCGCAU